AUUACACCGAAAAAAAAGCAAUUCGCCCCGUACAAUCACACCUCCAUCAAUCUCCCUUGCCUAGGGUUCCCUGCCACCACUGCCGAAGCCGCCGCCGAACCCCAGGUCAACGCACGCAGCCGCCGCUGCUGCUCCGUCUUCUAUCUCCUAUCUCUCUCUGAAUGGUGGCGAUGGUGGUCGCAAUGGGGAAAUGGAAGGUGGCGGAUGAGCGAAGGCCAUGGCCGCGAAGCAGGUUAGGCACCGCCGUAUGGACAGGAACGCGGGCGCUCGGAGGUACCUAGGAAAUCGGGAGGGGCUGAGCAGGACGGCCAAGGGCGUCGCCAAGGUCUUCGGCGUCCAGUUGUCCACGCCUUGAGAUGGUAAUCAUCUUAACUAUGAGCAAGUAGGUCGGAACUAUGAGCAAUUAGGUCACGUUUACGAUCUCAAGGAUCCAGUGAUGUUGAAUCUAAUAGUUGGACUUCACUGCCUUCUCAAUUUAUAUAGGUGAGCACUGUUGCUUGCUGACUCACACAGCAGGAAUUAGGCGGGUUGUGGCGAACGAGGAACCAAGAGGGGAAACUGUAGCUAUACAACUGCGGAAUUGAUCAAUACGAGCAUGCUUUGUCUAGCCAGGGAGAGCGCCGAGGGUGCUGGUCCGCGGCACCAGAAGAGUUGAACUCUCAACGAGAUACUAAUCAAUGGUGAAGUAUUUAGAUCAGUUCUACAACCAACUCAUGUUGCUUAUAACUGUAGCUUUUGUUCAAACCCCAGUUGUAGGUAAGCUACAUUGCCAAGUGCAAAUCCUUAUCUUACUACAGUUUUCAACUUUUCAUUGACAUUUUCCGUUUUGGACUGUAUGUCCAUUUUGGGCCCCAUUUUCGACUGUAGCUUUUGUCCUGACCCCACUUGUACGCAAUGUAAUUUGCAGCCAUGAUGUUACACUGCCAAUAUUUUAGAAAACUGUAAUUUGCUUCCAUGAUGUUACACACUUGCAGGUCUAUGGUAGUGUCACGAAUUUGGGGAUACAUCUCCUCGCACUCAGGUGGAAGAAAUUCCGAUCCUCGCCCUCAAGUCCAACUAAUUCAGGACCUGCAUCUCUGAUAUACCGUGGUUGGUUCCUUCCUUGAUGCCUUCUCUCUUCACAAUCGAUGAAAUACACAACUAGCUUCCACAUAUUUAAGGAGCAGGUACAGUUUCAUUGUGUAAAAAAUAGUAGCAGGUGGGUAUUUUAGCAGUUCAGCUAUCUGAAAGAGAAAAUGAGUUGCUUCAGCAGAAAACCGAGGUCAUGACAUUAGCCGCUUCACUGAAACUGGAAGAAGAAGCAAGUGCACAAGACCACGACCACUGAUGACAAGAGACUUCAAAGAACUUUAAAAAGAGUAGGAGUCAACACUACCGUAGGUAUUGAAGAGGCCAACAUUUACAAGGUUGACGUAGUUAUCCAAUUUUAGAACCAGACAGUGCAAGCUUCACCUCACGCGCUGACCUCCCAAACGAUCACUUCCCCGUCAGUCGAUGUGAAGACGUGGGCCGCGCCAGUGUGGUGCAAGUCCUCCAGUUUACCUGGCGGCGCGACACCAGCCCUCAUGGCACAACUUAGGAUGCACGGCGACCAUGGGAUAUAAGAAGAAAUGAGUGGAUUUGACUGUCAUCAGGGAUGGGACCUCAAGCUCGUAGGCAUAAAAAUUCUUUGCAAUAUAACACCCAAGUGAUUCACGUGUGAUAAUAAAGCUUAGAAAAGAGAGCACGGCCCAGUAGUUGGUUGUGCAACAGGAGAUGAUAUGGCUUCAGUUCUUCUUCACAUAAACAUCUUGAUCCUUA